rnacentral:rRNA from 1 species
GACGAACGCUGGCGGCGUGCUUAACACAUGCAAGUCGAACGGAAAGGCCCUGCUUUUGUGGGGUGCUCGAGUGGCGAACGGGUGAGUAACACGUGAGUAACCUGCCCUUGACUUUGGGAUAACUUCAGGAAACUGGGGCUAAUACCGGAUAGGAGCUCCUGCUGCAUGGUGGGGGUUGGAAAGUUUCGGCGGUUGGGGAUGGACUCGCGGCUUAUCAGCUUGUUGGUGGGGUAGUGGCUUACCAAGGCUUUGACGGGUAGCCGGCCUGAGAGGGUGACCGGCCACAAUGGGACUGAGAUACGGCCCAGACUCCUACGGGAGGCAGCAGUGGGGAAUAUUGCACAAUGGGCGGAAGCCUGAUGCAGCAACGCCGCGUGCGGGAUGACGGCCUUCGGGUUGUAAACCGCUUUCGCCUGUGACGAAGAGUGAGUGACGGUAAUGGGUAAAGAAGCACCGGCUAACUACGUG